GCCAAUGUGGACUCAUGAAGGCUGGUGGGACUCAGAAAGGCUGGCUGAGCUCAGGAAGCAUGGCUCGUGGGACGAACUUCUAGGAGCAGGGCCAGGCUGCCAGAUCCACAGGAAGCUGGAAUGGGACAGACUUGGCCCAGCUCUCAGAGACCAGGCUGGUAUGGAGGCCUGGCUGGCCCUGCUGGGAGUUGCUCGGCCUGAGUCUGGCUGAGUGUCUGGAAAAGCCCACCCUCCUUUGAGUCUGCAGGUUUGGCGGAUGCUGCCCCCUGGUGGCCCUAGAGAGCCACGGCCCAGGCCCCCAUGCUCUUGACCUCUCAGCCCCCACCAUUUGUGGUCAGAAGAGAGAACUGAGGGGGCUCUGGGUCCAGAUAGGAAUCACAGAGGAGCAAGGUGCAGCAGGCUGGGUGGGCUGCACAGGCUAAGGGCCUGGGCCUCACGAUCGUCAGACAACACUCAGGUCACCCAGCAAGCAUCCUAAUUCUUCUCCAGGCCACAACUUCCUCCUCUGCAGCCUGGAGAGAAGACUGUAGGACGAGGGCGUCCAACUACUCUCUUCUCCAGCCAAUCCUGGCAGCUCCAGCCCUGCAGCACAGAGCAGGAAGGUCCUGGGGAAAGAGACUCCCCCCACCCGCUGUGUGGGCCUAGCCUUGGGACCUUAGCAGUCGCUGAGCUUCUCUGAGCCUAGUUUGCUCAUCUGGAAAAUGGAGAUUACACCGUUUACCUCGUGGAGUUGUGAGGACUGAAAGAGGGCACAGAUGCAAAGUGCCAAGACAUAGUUUCUCCAUGCAGCUCCCUCUCGUCCUCCUGGGUCGAGUCUAGCUCCCCAAGCCCCUUGUUCCUCACCUGGGGAAACGGAAGUGGAGGGAUGAGCUGCUCAAAGGAUAACCCAUCUUUCAAUGUUCGAAGCUGCCUCAAGAGGAGGGUGGGGAAACAGGUCAACUGCGGCUGAUGGGAGCUCUUGGUAGUGACAGAGAUGGAACCUGGAUGUGGAGGCCCUUCUGUGCCGCCCCACGGGCCUCGGCCUAGGCGGCUGCCGGCCUUGUGGCCAACCCUGGCCGCUCUGGCCCUGCUGAGCAGCGUCGCCGAGGCCUCCCUGGGCCCCGCGCCCCGCAGCCCCGCCACCCGCGAAGGCCCCGCGCCCGCCCCGGCGCCCCCCGCCGGCCACCUGCCCGGGGGCCGCGCGGCCCGCGUAUGCGGCGGAAGAGCCCGGCGGCCG